AGCUGUGGGUCGGAGUGAAGGCUAAUCAAGCCCGGAGAUAGCUGGUUCUCCUCGAAAGCUAUUUAGGUAGCGCCUCGUGUCUCACCAUUGGGGGUAGAGCACUGUUUCGGCUAGGGGGUCAUCCCGACUUACCAACCCGAUGCAAACUCCGAAUACCAAUGAGUGCAAUCACGGGAGACACACGGCGGGUGCUAACGUCCGUCGUGGAAAGGGAAACAACCCAGACCGUCAGCUAAGGUCCCAAAGUUAUAGUUAAGUGGGAAACGAUGUGGGAAGGCUUAGACAGCUAGGAGGUUGGCUUAGAAGCAGCCACCCUUUAAAGAAAGCGUAAUAGCUCACUAGUCGAGUCGGCCUGCGCGGAAGAUAUAACGGGGCUCAAACUAUACACCGAAGCUACGGAUGCGGAUUUAUCCGCAUGGUAGAGGAGCGUUCUGUAGGCCGUUGAAGGGAAAGCUGAGAGGCAUCCUGGAGGUAUCAGAAGUGCGAAUGCUGACAUGAGUAACGAUAAAGGGGGUGAAAAGCCCCCUCGCCGGAAGACCAAGGUUUCCUGUCCAAUGCUAAUCAGGGCAGGGUGAGUCGGCCCCUAAGGCGAGGCUGAAGAGCGUAGUCGAUGGGAAGCAGGUUAAUAUUCCUGCACCACUCAAUAUUGCGAAGGAGGGACGGAGAAGGUUAGGCUAGCACGGCGUUGGUUGUCCGUGUUUAAGCGUGUAGGCUGAGAACUUAGGUAAAUCCGGGUUCUUGUAAGGCUGAGACGUGAUGACGAGGUUCAUUAGAGACGAAGUAGUUGAUGCCAUGCUUCCAGGAAAAGCUUCUAAGCGAUAGAUAUUGAGUGACCGUACCCCAAACCGACACAGGUGGUCAGGUAGAGAAUACCAAGGCGCUUGAGAGAACUCGGGUGAAGGAACUAGGCAAAAUGGUACCGUAACUUCGGGAGAAGGUACGCCGGCUUUGGUGAUGGGACUUGCUCCCUAAGCUGAGGCUGGUCGAAGUAACCAGGUGGCUGCGACUGUUUAUUAAAAACACAGCACUGUGCAAACACGAAAGUGGACGUAUACGGUGUGACGCCUGCCCGGUGCCGGAAGGUUAAUUGAUGGGGUUAGCUUCAGGCGAAGCUCUUGAUCGAAGCCCCGGUAAACGGCGGCCGUAACUAUAACGGUCCUAAGGUAGCGAAAUUCCUUGUCGGGUAAGUUCCGACCUGCACGAAUGGCGUAACGAUGGCCACACUGUCUCCACCCGAGACUCAGUGAAAUUGAAAUCGCUGUUAAGAUGCAGUGUACCCGCGGCUAGACGGAAAGACCCCGUGAACCUUUACUAUAGCUUCACACUGGACUUUGACCUUAUUUGUGUAGGAUAGGUGGGAGGCUUUGAAGCGGUGACGCUAGUCAUCGUGGAGCCAUCCUUGAAAUACCACCCUGGUAUGUUUGAGGUUCUAACUUAGGUCCGUAAUCCGGAUCGAGGACAGUGUGUGGUGGGUAGUUUGACUGGGGCGGUCUCCUCCCAAAGAGUAACGGAGGAGUACGAAGGUAUCCUAAGCAUGGUCGGAAAUCAUGCGUUAGUGCAAUGGCAUAAGCAUGCUUA
rnacentral:rRNA from 1 species